AGGAGAAACUCGAUCCGUGUGCUAUUGCUAAGCGCAGUAACGCUUCCUCUUAGUGUUAGUAUAAGAGCGCUGAGAGUUUUAAUUGUGUUUAUUCGGAAUAAAGCUGCCACUUUAUUUCAGAUUUAAAUCUUUUGGAAUGGUGUUUUAUAAAGUUUUUAUUUUUCUAACAAUAUUUAGCAGAGACAGCACUCUGACCUUUAACCUUGAUGAUCAGCUCUCAGUGUCGGAAGAACCGAUUCCUGAGGAGAAGAGCAGGACCAUACAGCUUGGAUGAAUGGUUUUAAAUCAUGCAUCAUAUCUUGUUUAUAUUCUACAUAAAAACGCCUUCUUAUUCUGGACAGAAGUUUGAACACACUGAGGUUAUAAAUGCCUCUUUAAUGAAGGAAUAAAGUGUGUGUGUGUGUGUGUGUGUGUGUGUGUGAGCCCUCACUGUUAAAACUGAAUUAUGGAAAUAAUAGAAACUUGUCUGCUUCUUUAUAUCUUAAUUAUUAAAUGUGAGUGAUAUGAAUAUUUUAAUUGUAGAUUUUUCUCUCAGGCUAAUUUGUCAUUAGCGGAGGUCUCUGUGUGAGGUUCCAUGUGAGGUCUCUGUGUGAGGUUCCAUGUGAGGUCUCUGUGUGAGUUCUGGGUAAGGUCUCUGUGUGAGGUCUCCAUGUGAGGUCUCUGUGUGAGGUUCCGUGUAAGGUCUCUGUGUGAGGUUCCGUGUAAGGUCACUGUGUGAGGUUCUGGGUGAGGUCUCCAUGUGAGGUUCUACGUAAGGUCACUGUGUGAAGUCUCUGUGUGAGGUUCUGGGUGAGGUCUCCAUGUGAGAUUCUGUGUGCGGUCUCUGUGUGCGGUCUCUGUGUGCGGUCUCUGUGUGCGGUCUCUGUGUGCGGUCUCUGUGUGCGGUCUCUGUGUGCGGUCUCUGUGUGAGGUUCCGUGUGAGAUUCCAUGUGAGGUCUCCGUGUGAAAUUCCACGUGAGGUUCCGUGUGAGGUCUCCGUGUGAGGUUCCGUGUGAGGUUCCGUGUGAGGUCUCUGUGUGACGUUCUGUGUGACGUUCUGUGAUCUGGCUUGUGAUUGAGCUGAUGAUUUUCUGCUCGUAUGCAUAUUGAUUAUGAUGUUCAGGAAUUUGAGAUUCCUUCAUUUCCUGGAGUUCCACAUGUUCCGUUUACCAUCACGUUGUGUUCUUCAUGUUUCUUUCAUCUUUAUUAACUUUGUCUCUCUUGUUUCAUUAAAUUGAACUUAAGUUAGCUUUUUUUUAUUUGCACAAUCAAAUACAACAUAAACCUACAAACAGGGUUUUCAGAGGGCUUAGUGGAUGUAGCUUACCUUUAUGUGUACAUGUUGAACAUACUGAAAUACACUAGAGAUGCACUGAAUGUGCGGCAACCGAAAUUAUUCGGCCGAAAAUAGCAAUAAGUGAAAAGGCAGAAUAAAUUUGUCCGAACAAUGAUGUGUUUGAUGAUGCGACCAAAUAGCCUAGCAACCAGAGUGAGACGCGCGAAUAUCACGAUCUCAGCGCUCGGAGAGAUGAGGGGGCGCGCGCAUGCACCAGCUACGUGCACGAGUGCUCAGAGAGCGCAUGCUCUUCGGAUGUUGACAACCAUGACAUUGUUUACUGUGGACACGUGCGUUUGUUUUGUCAUUGGUUGUUGUUUGGGGGUGUGGCUUUAUUGUUUUCAGCUGCCAGCGCUUAGCGCUGAUUAUAACUAGUACUAUAUAACGUACUAUUAUAACUUAGCGCUUAGCGCUGAUUAUAACUAGUACUAUAGACUGGGAGCGGAAAAACCAGCGGGGACUAAAUGAACUGAUCUAUAGUUUAAACUAACUAAAUCUAUCAAGGAACAUAACAUUGACAACGUAUCUAACUCUACUAUAUCUAUUACAAUAUUCCGCGAGGUGUACAGGGACGUGAGCGGUAUAUAUCCCCAAUAUAAUCAGCCCUAUAGAACCCAAUAGAACCAUUUUCUGCACUCUUGUCAAUGCACUUUUUAUGCACUUUUUGCUGUAGGCUACAGAGUGUUCCAUUCUUUCAGCAGUCAGUUAUAGGCCUAACAUCGGCUAUUCAAGGGGCUCAAAGAUGAGCACAUCAAAAUAUUUUUAUUUUACUCAUUUAUUUAUUUAAAGUUAUAUUGUGCCUUGUUGGUAGCCUGUGCCGUCUGGUAUGAAAAAAAUGUUCAGUGUUAAAUAAAUAUUUUGAAACUCUGGUUUUUGUAGUUGAUUUUUUUUCUUUGAAAAGCA
ensembl:lncRNA